GCUGAGGUGGCGAAACUGGCAGACGCAACGGCCUUAGGAGCCGUCGGGAGCAAUCCUGUGGGAGUUCAAAUCUCCCCCUCAGCA
rnacentral:tRNA from 1 species